rnacentral:lncRNA from 1 species
CUUUACCUGCGCGGUGCUCGCUUCAAAAUAUGUCACACAAAUCGAAAUUCAAUCAGGUACAAACAUUGGUGGAGUAAGCAAGGUGGGAGAAUCUGGAUAAUGUAAAUCUUGCAUGCAUGCAUCUGUUUUUUUGUAUGCAUUUUAAUUUAAGAGCAGAAAAUGUGUACUGUAUGUGUUAUGCUGAGAUCGAAUGAAAUUAACCUUUUAAGUUUUGUUAUUGGAUUUUAAAAAGGGUUGACACAUGGCUCAAGAGGAAAAUGAAGAAGAUUUUCCUGGACGCCUAUUACACCAGGCUGCUUUGUGGGGAAAUGCGGAAUUGCUGGAAGAUCUUCUUCAUGGUGAAAUGGAUUGUAAAGAUCUCAUUAAGUAGAAGAAAUCUUUACUGAAGUUUCAGAGGUAAUUUUUAUGUAUGAAGAAAAGUAACAACAUGUAAAGAGAGAGAAUGCCAAAAUUCUGCUUAAUGCAAGAAGACUAAAUAUUACAAAGUCAUUCACAUAAAACUCACAAAACCAUUCACUCUAGCUUAAAAUCACUGAAUAAUAAAUUUAAGGUCAUAUCUCUCUGAAGUGGACUAUGUUUCAGCUAACCUGGCCUUCUCACAAUGCCCUAUUCAUAUCAUUGCAUGCUAUUGGUUCAUACAGAACUCCUUAGCAACUAGAGUAGAGGAACAAGAAGGUGUUUUAUUGAGCAUUUUUAUUUCAGUAAAGUAUUUGUUAAAAUUUAUUAAAGUAAAUAACAGUACAUGAAGUAAGAUAAACAGUUAUAAAUAGCCUGAGAAAAAUUCAUUUAUAGGACAAAGUCAUAAUCACUGUGCAGGAACUCCACAAAUUUCACAUGAUUUUGAACUGAAUAAGUAAAAUGACUGCUCCUCAGAAUGUGCCCUAUUUAUAAGAUUUCCCGAGGGGAAGGGAAAGCUUUGAGAAAAAUUGCUUUGAAAGGAUCAAAAAUGCAUUUUACAAAAACUUCCAGAAUGUCACUAAUGUGGCGAGAAAUCACCUAUUAUCACCCAUUCAAAGACAAUAAUUGACAUUAGUGUGUGGCCCCUGACCAUAUCUGUGAUUUUAAUUAAGCUAUCUUUACAGUUCAAACAUUUAUUUAAUUUGGAAUUGAAAUAUUUACAACUUAUUGCAUGAAAUAAACACUUACAAACAAAAGAAGUAGUCAUGAAUUCUUUUAAACGAAAAUACACAAAAUUAUUACAUAAAAUGCAUUAAAUAAACAAGCAAACAAAUAAAAUUAUUGCAUAACACUAUAAAAAAUACAUGAAACCCAAAUUGCAAACAAACACACAAAUUACAAAAUUUCAAUUUUAUCAUUACCAAUUACCAAAAGAUAGCAGGCCGCACUACAAAUUCUACAUAAUUAGUCCUAUUGUCUCAAAAAUAUGUUUUCUGGAAGUUUUCAGAACGUCAUCAAAUUGGUGAACAGUCGUCAGUUUGGUAACAAGUAAUUAUUGCUAGAGCUUUAUAGUGUAGGAUUCUUCAAAGUUGUUCAAAUACAGUUGUUUGUAUAAUUUACAAUGGUAUAAAAGUUGUGAAAAAAAUGAAAUUUUAUGAAAAUUAUUUUUUAUAUAUUUAUUGAUUUUGUUGUAAUGAAGUAAAAAAUAAUCCUUUAAAGAAAUUUGUAAAUUAUUCUCUCCUAGUCUAGUGUGUAAGUUGUGUAAUUUUUGGCAAGCUAAAGCACAUUAAUCAUUACUAUUAUACACAUUAAUCUAUUGUUUUCUAUAGAGUUGAAAACUAUUAGAAAGUGUUUCAGUAAAUUAGUUUAUUAAAUUUUUAUGGUACUUUUAUAUUAUUACGCAACCCUGGUAAUUUAAAUGGCAUCAAUAUAAUCGAUAAAUCGCCAGUGAAUGUUGCAAACUGUCAAAUAGGCAGAAGUUUUUAGAUCUUUCUUAUUUUUUGGCAAAUUGAAAAUUGUGAAACUAAAAAAAAAAAGACAGAAAAUGGUAUAGAAAUAAAAUAACACCUUUAUUCAGAGCUCUUUUCAUAACAAACUGAUGUGUAACGUCGAUGCGAGCCAGUUUUUUUUUAGAAAGUCUUCCAGAAAAGCUUCCCUCACUUUAGAUAGACCAAAUUAAAAUCAUGACAGAUGAACUAUAAGUGACUGUAGUUAGGACUGCCAGCAGUUUAUUGAUUAUUUUGUUGGCAUUUAAAUUACGGGAAUUGUAAUAAUGAGAAAGUAUCAAUUUUUCCAAUAACAUAGAUUUUUGGAUAUUAAUAGGGUGCUAGUUGUCAAAUAUGCUCUGAAGCAAAAAAAUGUGGUAGCCCAUUUAUAUCGCAUCUUGAAGAGCCAUGCAAUUUUUGAUAUGUGCAAUGCUAAAUUUGUGUAAUCAUUAUGCACAUUAAACAUCGUAUAUAUGUUAUAUUAAAUGAUACAUUACUGUUAUUACAAGUUCUUUUUUUCAUGAAAGUUUUACGUAUCAUUAGGGUUGGUGCCAUUUAGUUAGAUUUCUCACCUCUCCGUUGCACCUCAUUAAGCAGAAAAGUUCAGAUUAAAAAAAAUAUUAUGUUCUUAUUGAUAUCCUUCUCCUCCCCCAUACUCUCCAUGCUUGGAAGCUGUAUUGAAAUUAUUUAUUCAUAAGAAUAUAGUUUCUUCGUCUGGCUCCUAGUGACACUGGCUUGUUUUGAAUAACUCAUAAAAUUGACGUUGUAAAAUAAUGGCAGUAUAUAUUUAUAUUAUAUUUUUGGAAUUAUCUGUAAGUUCAUAUGUUAUGCUUUGUAUUAGCACUGAUAAAAAACAUAUUCAAGCAUGGCACUUAAAAGUUUUCAGAAUAAAUCUAAGGAUACUAUCACAUUAUUCCCGUAACUGUGACAAAAAUCACCAGGCAAGUGCUGUACCAUCGAAUAGCACUUACCCGAUGAUAUAGGCAAAUCAGAAUUUUAUGAAAAUGUAUUUUAUCUCUCAUUGCACUCAAUAAUUGCAGUCAGGGAAUUCUGAGGGUUAUCUUUGCGGUUUUUGCUUGUGACAAGUGGGUGUAUUUCCUCCCUUUAAUUAAUCAUAAUGUGGGAAUUCUAAGCAGGUGCUGUUUUUAAAUAUUUUGUGAUUUUGCUCUUGAAUUUAAGGUGGCUUAAGUGCAAAGAAAGUGAUGAUUAAUAAUUAAACUAAAAUGACCCUCCUCCAAAAAACGUGUUAGCAGGAAUGGGUCAAAGAGUAGAUUGUUAACCUGCAAUGCUAAGUAAGAGCAUAAAUACAACACAAGAGGAUUUGUUAAAUCCUAAUGUCAUGAGACAUCCUAAUGACAUGAAAGUCUGAAUGCAUAAGAUAUUCUUUAAAAUUAAGAUCUAAUGAUGUAGCUUAUACUUGGCUUAAAAUGUAUGCUCGGUGUCAGAGCUGUUUAAUUUUUUUUUGUAUUGCAAUAAACUUU